rnacentral:rRNA from 1 species
AGUGAACGCUGGCGGUAGGCCUAACACAUGCAAGUCGAACGGCAGCACAGUAAGAGCUUGCUCUUACGGGUGGCGAGUGGCGGACGGGUGAGGAAUACAUCGGAAUCUACUUUUUCGUGGGGGAUAACGUAGGGAAACUUACGCUAAUACCGCAUACGACCUACGGGUGAAAGCAGGGGAUCUUCGGACCUUGCGCGAUUGAAUGAGCCGAUGUCGGAUUAGCUAGUUGGCGGGGUAAAGGCCCACCAAGGCGACGAUCCGUAGCUGGUCUGAGAGGAUGAUCAGCCACACUGGAACUGAGACACGGUCCAGACUCCUACGGGAGGCAGCAGUGGGGAAUAUUGGACAAUGGGCGCAAGCCUGAUCUAGCCAUACCGCGUGGGUGAGGAAGGCCUUCGGGUUGUAAAGCCCUUUUGUUGGGAAAGAAAAGCAGCAGGUUAAUACCCCGCUGUUCUGACGGUACCCAAAGAAUAAGCACCGGCUAACUUCGUG